rnacentral:rRNA from 1 species
UACGGAGGAUCCGAGCGUUAUCCGGAUUUAUUGGGUUUAAAGGGAGCGUAGGCGGGUUGUUAAGUCAGUUGUGAAAGUUUGCGGCUCAACCGUAAAAUUGCAGUUGAUACUGGCAUCCUUGAGUACAGUAGAGGUAGGCGGAAUUCGUGGUGUAGCGGUGAAAUGCAUAGAUAUCACGCAGAACCCCGAUUGCGAAGGCAGCAUGCCGGCUUCCUACUGACGCUGAAGCACGAAAGCGUGGGGAUCGAACAGG